rnacentral:rRNA from 1 species
GGCCCUACGGGGGGCAGCAGUGAGGAAUAUUGGUCAAUGGGCGAGAGCCUGAACCAGCCAAGUCGCGUGAAGGAUGACGGCCCUAUGGGUUGUAAACGUCUUUUGUCAGGGAGCAAUUGGGUCCACGUGUGGGCUUAGCGAGAGUACCUGAAGAAAAAGCAUCGGCUAACUCCGUGCCAGCAGCCGCGGUAAUACGGAGGAUGCGAGCGUUACCCGGAUUUAUUGGGGUUAAAGGGUGCGU